GAUUAUGGCUCAGGACGAACGCUGGCGGCAUGCCUAACACAUGCAAGUCGAACGGAAGUAGCAAUACUUUAGUGGCGAACGGGUGAGUAACACGUGAGCAACCUGCCUUAUACUCAGGGAUAACAGUUGGAAACGACUGCUAAUACCGGAUAAGACCACACUAUGGCAUCAUAGAGGGGUCAAAGUGCUUUAGCGGUAUGAGAUGGGCUCGCGUCCAAUUAGCUAGUUGGUGGGGUAACGGCCCACCAAGGCGACGAUUGGUAGCCGACUUGAGAGAGUGAUCGGCCACACUGGAACUGAGACACGGUCCAGACUCCUACGGGAGGCAGCAGUGGGGAAUAUUGGGCAAUGGAGGAAACUCUUACCCAGCCAAUGCCGCGUGAGUGAUGAAGGUCUUUGGAUUGUAAAGCUCUUUGAUUGGGGAAGAAUAAAUGACGGUACCCAAAGAACAAGCCCCGGCUAACUAUGUGCCAGCAGCGGC
rnacentral:rRNA from 1 species